AAAGGCUUACACAUGCAGUCGAGGGGUAACAGAUCUUCGGAUGCUGACGACCGGCGAACGGGUGAGUAACACGUAUGCAACUUACCCAUAACUCGGGAAUAGCCCAAAGAAAUUUGGAUUAAUACCCAAUAAUACAGGCGUACCGCAUGGUAUUCUUCGUUAAAGAAUAAUCGGUUAUGGAUAGGCAUGCGUUCUAUUAGGUAGUUGGUGAGGUAACGGCUCACCAAGCCGACGAUGGAUAGGGGAACUGAGAGGUUGUCCCCCCACACUGGUACUGAGACACGGACCAGACUCCUACGGGAGGCAGCAGUGAGGAAUAUUGGUCAAUGGACGAAAGUCUGAACCAGCCAAAUCGCGUGAAGGAAGAAGGUAUUAUGUAUCGUAAACUUCUUUUGUAAGAGAGUAAAGUGCACUACGUGUAGUGUAUUGCAAGUACCUUACGAAUAAGCAUCGGCUAAUUCCGUGCCAGCAGCCGCGGUAAUACGGAAGAUGCAAGUGUUAUCCGGAUUUAUUGGGUUUAAAGGGUGCGUAGGUGGUCUAAUAAGUCAGUGGUGAAAUCUCUUUGCUUAACAAGGAAAUUGCCAUUGAAACUGUUAGACUUGAGAAUGGACGAGGUAGGCGGAAUUCGUAGUGUAGCGGUGAAAUGCAUAGAUAUUACGAAGAACUCCAAUAGUGUAGACUGCUUACCAGACCAUAUCUGACACUAAAGGCACGAAAGUGUGGGUAUCAAACAGGAUUAGAUACCCUGGUAGUCCACACAGUAACGAUGAAUACUAACUGUUUGCGAUAUACAGCAAGUGGUCGAGCGAAAGCGUUAAGUAUUCCACCUGGGAAGUAUGCCGGCACGUGAAACUCAAAGGAUGACGGGGCCCGCACAGCGAGACAUGUGUUAUCGAUAUACGCGAGACUACCCGGGCUCGACGAUAUUGAUACAUCGAAA
rnacentral:rRNA from 1 species